AUGGCGUCGUCUUCUUCAUCCACACCAUCGCUGUUCACCCAGGUUACAGAGAAACUCACCCGCCAAAACUUCAUCUUGUGGCGUGCGUAGAUUCUUCCGCAGGUGCGUAGUGCGGGCCUCUAUGGCCUCCUUGAUGGAUCGGAUGCGGAGCCGGCCAAGACCGUCAUCGUCAAGGACAAGGACGGCAAGGACAGCAGCAUCACCAACCCUGAGCACGCGAUCUGGGUCAGGCAAGACCAGCUCGUGCUUGGCUACCUUCUGAACAACCUGACGAAGGAGGUACUCGUCCAGGUGGUGUCAAUCCCCACGGUGCAUGCCCUCUGGACCUACCUCGCCAAUAUGUUCUCCUCCACG
rnacentral:rRNA from 1 species